UGAGGAAUAUUGGGCAAUGCCCGCAAGGGUGACCCAGCAACGCCGCGUGGAGGAUGAAUGUCGUAAGAUUGUAAACUCCUGUUAGAGGGGAAGAAUAGUACCGGUUGGACCGGUAUAUGACUGUACCCUCAGAGAAAGCCCCGGCUAACUACGUGCCAGCAGCCGCGGUAAUACGUAGGACCCAAGCGUUGUCCGGAUUUACUGGGUGUAAAGGGUGCGCAGGCGGAUGGGUAAGUCAGGGGUGAAAGUCUGCAGCUUAACUGUAGAAUUGCCUUUGAUACUGCUCAUCUUGAGUGUGGGAGAGNUUGAUGGAAUUCCAGGUGUAGCAGUGAAAUGCGUAGAGAUGUGGAAGAACACCGAUGGCGAAGGCAGCUCCCUGGGUUGACACUGACGCUCAUGCACGAAAGCGUGGGGAGCAAACA
rnacentral:rRNA from 1 species